AAAAACAUUUCAAAGAGCUACCCAACACUGUCAACAACACACAGGGAACACUCAGGUAAGUAGUGAAUAACAACAGGUUUAUUUGCAGGUGAGCAGAUGAUCGAGAUGGUGGAGGCAGGUAAGCAUCAACAGUUCAGAGAAGUUGGUAACAGAACUUAACUGGGUUAGUAACUUAAGUCUUUUUCCUUUCCAGGUGACGACAGAGCAAGAGGAUCGCAGGAGCACAGGCGAAGAAUGAGUCAGUUGUCAGCUCGAUAUGGGACCUGCACCUUUUCAGAGGCACUUCGAGUACAUCACUGCCGAGGCACCAGCAGGGGGAGCCAAAUGAGCACCAUUCUCCCUCAUUUAUGCCAAAUCUGCUGAAGCACUUCCUGCAUUGGGCCCCUCUCUGCUCCGCACUCAUGCUGGGUUAAUCUAUUUUCCUCUUGUACUAUGGGUGUGGCAGACGAACUGUGUGAAGAGCUCUUCCGUUGGAUUGAUCAGCAGAAGCGAUGUGCAGAUCAUCUCAAGGCUUUGGCCACCGAGCUGGAGGACAUGAGGGAGGUGAUGACUGCAGGCCAGUUGGUGGGAAACACAGCAACUGUGCUUGGGUCUGCCGCUCUUGUUGGGACAGGCAUUGCAACAAUUCUGACUGGAGGCCUGGCUGCACCCUCGCUGGCACUGGCAGCUGGAAUCACAGCCGGAGUGGGUACUGCAACUAGUCUUACACUUACGCUUGUGGAGAAAUGGAAAUCCAGUAAAACAAUGGAAAAUGCAGAGAAGACUGCUGACAAAAUCAAACAGAUUCAGAACAAUAUCGAAAGGCUCCAGAAGAAACUCCAGAAGGAGUGUGAGAGUGAAGGGUUUGAAGUGUCAUCGUCCGAUGACGUGCAGUGUGAAAUCACAGCGAGGAUCCUGAGAGCCUUGGCCAAACGCAGUGGUAGAGAUCUGCCCCUCAGUCGCCUAAGACACCUCUUGAGAAGUGAUGGCAUGUAUACACAUAACAGAUAUCCAAAGUUUAUUCUAGACGGUGCAUUCUUCUACACCGUCAGUUCUUUCAUAGCAUACCUUGGAUAUUCUGCCAUCUUUCUGAAAACAGCAGCAACAAAAGGACAAAAAUAUUAUGCUCCAUUUCUUGUGAAAGCUACUAAAGAAAUGGCUGAUCUUUCACUGAAAACUGUGUUAAAGGGAACAGGCCAGGCCGCAGGAGGAAUCUUUGGGCUGAUAUUAACAGUUCCUGAUCUGAUUGAUAACUGUGAAGAACUGAUUAAAAACAAACAUCAGACUGAAGCUAGCACAUAUCUGAAGACAAAAGCUGAUGAAAUCCGUGAGACCGUGAAGAAAUUUAAAAAGCCAUUGAAUGAAUUGCAAGACAUGCUCAAUCAAAUCCCUGAAAUGGAGUGUCACAUUGAUUUGGCUCAGGAGAUGUUUGGAUCUCAAAUAUACACUCGAGGCACCAUCUGUAUGGAGUAUAAACAGAGCCAAAAGCAGGACAGGAAGACACAGGGGUUUAUUCUCCUAUGCACAAAACACAUAGGAGUAACUAAGAAUUGUUCCACAGGCAAAGACAAAUCAGGUGACAACAAGAACAAAAGACGGAAGAAGAAGACUACUUCAACUGUAGACAGGAGCCUUAACCAGGAGAGGAAACCUGCUUUUCAGAGGAAACCACCACACAAGUCUAAAACAAAAGUAAAGGAAUUUCAGUUCCGCCUUCCUAAAAUAAUGAUGUCUAAUGUACGUUCUCUUCCAAACAAAAUAGAGGAGCUCCAAGAAAUGAUGGAAGAUGUGGAAAACGUUAAUUCCGAUCUGAUGUUCUUCACAGAGACAUGGUUGAACAGGAACUCGCCCAGCAUUAACUUCGAUAGAUAUAAGUCUUUCCGGGUUGAUCGUGAUGCAUGGCUUACUAAGAAAAGUAAAGGAGGGGGAUUGAUGGUGCUUGUGAACAAGGCUUGGGCGACUGAUGUGGAGGUGGAAAACAUCAUGAUUACUCCAGAUUAUGAGUUAAUGGUUGUGUCCAUUAUACCACAUGACCACCCUGAGGAUGCGCCACCACUUACCUUCAUCCAUGUGUAUAUCCCUCCAAGAACUAAUAUGACUCGAGCUGCCAUUGACAUCGCUGCUGUUUACUAUGAUGUUCUGGAGCAGUAUCCUGGUGGUCCUGUUUUCUUGUUGGGUGAUUUCAACCACUGUGACAUCACUCAUCUCUUAGACCUGGAGCAAUAUGUCACAUGCCCAACCAGAAACAGUAACACCCUGGAUCAAUGCUAUGGGAAUGUGCCAGAGGCUUAUAGAUCUGAAUGCAGACCCCCGCUUGGCCGGUCAGACCACAAUGUCAUUCAUUUGAUUCCUAAAAAGAAGUCAGAUGGAAGUGACCCUUCUAAAGAUGAGAAGUGUAGACAUGACAGUACCAAAUCCAGAAAGCAAUGA
ensembl:lncRNA